GGCUGUGUUCCACUAAGGGAAAAGUUUGAAUGCAAGUACCAGUGAGUCCCAUGAGAGGGACUUGAUCAUGUAGAGGUAUGAUCGAAGCAGCUAGAGAGUUGGACUGCUCUAGAGCCUAUAUUCGCUUAAGGGAGCCCGGCAAGUCAGAGGACAAGGUCGAGUAAGCGAACGUUGCUACCAAGGAAGCUAAGGAGAACAGAAUCGGUGCAAACCCUAUAAUGCGAUGGCAGAGGCCAUGCAUGGGAGUUGCAGUCUGUCUUUCCAUCGACCAAAGGGAGCUGCUUGGAGAACACAGAGGUGUUGAAGCAGGGAGUCGAAAGGGGCGAGGAAGCGAAGACGAGUCCAGAGGGACUUAGCUACCCAAAAUCAAGCAUCAGUUAGAAUGGAGGUGGAUGUUAGGACUCUAGCUUGGAGAGUCCUAAUUGAGAGGGACAUUCAUGUAAAACCUACCUAAGUCGACCCCUAUUAAAGAGAUAAAGAGGCCGGUUAGGGUUAGGAGGUUGUUUCUUAGAGAAGAAUUAGGAGUUGUAAAGGAAUAGGAGUCUUAAGUAGGAGUCCUAUUAGGAGUUGGUUAGAAGUAGGAGUCUUGAGUAGGAGUCCUAUUAGGAGUUAGGGUUUAGAAGCCCUAUAAAUAGUCAUAUAUUCCUCCUCUUUUCAUAAGCAAUAGAUGAAUCUUUUCUGCAGCCUUUAAGCAGCAACUUAGAGGGAGGAACCCCUAUAGAGUUCCAAGGAGGCCGAUCCCCUAAAGAGAUCAACCCCAAGUUUAGAAUCUGCAAGGGUUCUAACACCUGGUAUUAGAGCAGCGUUCUUGGCAUCUCGCUGCCCUUCCACAGCCAUCCAUCAACCCUCCACAACCGUCCAAAGCAAUUCCCACAAUUGCUUAAAAGAUCGUCGCCGAAUUCCGCCAUCAUCUCCACCACCGCGGAUCAUCCUUUGAUCUCCCCGUGAAUUGCAACAGGUUCUGGUUUCCUACCUUACUGCUGCUGCAAUUUAGUUAUCCUUAUUCGAAAAUCCAAAAAAAAAAAAAAAUUGUUCCUAUAUUGCUGCAUAAACUUUUCGUCACAAAGUUUUCAUCUCUACGACGAAAGAUACAUUGUAGAAUUCCAGCCGCAUAGCACCAUCUGUUUGAUCUUGCUA
rnacentral:lncRNA from 1 species